rnacentral:rRNA from 1 species
UACGAAGGGGGCUAGCGUUGCUCGGAAUCACUGGGCGUAAAGAGCGCGCAGGCGGUCGUUCAAGUCGCGUGUGAAAGCCCCCGGCUCAACUGGGGAGGGUCACGCGAUACUGAUCGACUCGAAGGCAGGAGAGGGUAGUGGAAUUCCCGGUGUAGUGGUGAAAUGCGUAGAUAUCGGGAGGAACACCAGUGGCGAAGGCGACUACCUGGCCUGUUUCUUGACGCUGAGGCGCGAAAGCUAGGGGAGCAAACGGG